GCUUAAACAACAAACAUUUUUUUCUCUCAGUUCUGCCAACUGAGAAGUCCAAUAUCAAGCCUUGAAAGUGCUUGACACUCUCUCAUUUCCUUUUUAUCUCUUUUUAGAUGUAAGCAUUUCUAAGCAUGUUCCUGACUACCCUAUCCAAAGCAGCACUCUCCAUUCUGUGUGCCCUUCUUUCACUUUGUAGCACUACUUUACAAGAUGUUACACAAAAUUACUUUACAUUAUACUUAUUGUCUAUUUUACAAGUAUGCAAUCUCCCUGAGGGCAAGGACUUUACUUUGUGUACUAUUGUUUCACCAGAGUCAAGAAAAGAGCCUGACAUGAACCAACUGCUCAAUAACUAUUUGUUGCAUGGGUUAAUAAAUGAAAAGGACCUGGAUUAUUUUACUGUCCCACAUGACAUUCAAGGUAAUUAAUUCAAAGAGCUGAAGAUAUUAUAAAAAGAAUACUACAGUGGAUAGCUUGGUAAGAAUCAUUUGUCUCAGCCAGAUAUUAAUCGCGUGUAUAUGCAGAGUGAGGGACAAAUUUUUAUAUCCUGCUUUCCCUACUAGUUAAAAAUGUCAUGAAUCCCUGGGACCAUCUUCAGAAUAAUAACUCUUAAGAUUUGAGAGGAAAGUUAUACUGUCUUCGACAACUAAGUAUUUUCCCCUGAGAAACAGCUUUUUAGCCAUCUGUAAUCGGGUGAGCCACCCCUCAUGAGCUGGGUGUCAUCUUACCCACCUAGCCCUGAGGUUGGAUUUACUUUGUAAUACUCCAAUGACAAGUAGAAUUAAUUUUUACACAAACUAUACCUGGGUUGUUUCUGAAGUCCCAAGGGUGAUUCAUAAACAGCUAGCUCACAAUCCCAGUUAGAGACAGGGGGUUAUUCUUCUGCUGCCUCUCCCUCUCUACACACACAACAAUGCCCUUGUCAGGAAUCCUAUAAGAUUAUUUGAGAACAAAACAAUCGAAGCCAACAUUAUGGAUACUUAUUCGAGGACAGUAAGGGCUAUAAGAUGGAUAAGUUCUAUGGAUAUAGUUUACAGCAUGGUGACUAUAGUUCACAAAACAGUAUUGUAUAUUUGAAAGUUGCUAAGAGAAUAGAUCAUAAAAGUUCUUCCGACGAGAAAAAAUGUAUAAUGUUGUGAGGUGAUGGAUGUUAACUAAACUUACUGUGGUCAUCAUUUCACGAUAGAUACAUAAAUUAUUGUGUUGGACACCUUGGGUUAAUAUAAUAUUAUGUGUCAACUAUAUCUAAUAAAACAGGAAACAAUAAAUCUCACCCUUUAAUAAAAACAAACAAACAAACAAACACUACAAUGAGACACCAUUUCAUGUCCAUUAG
rnacentral:lncRNA from 1 species